AUUGAACGCUGGCGGCAGGCCUAACACAUGCAAGUCGAGCGGGGUUUUCGGACCUAGCGGCGGACGGGUGAGUAAUGCGUAGGAAGCUGCCCGAUAGAGGGGGAUACCAGUUGGAAACGACUGUUAAUACCGCAUAAUGUCUACGGACCAAAGUGUAGGACCUUCGGGCCACAUGCUAUCGGAUGCGCCUACGUGGGAUUAGCUAGUUGGUGAGGUAAUGGCUCACCAAGGCGACGAUCUCUAGCUGGUUUGAGAGGAUGAUCAGCCACACUGGAACUGAGACACGGUCCAGACUCCUACGGGAGGCAGCAGUGGGGAAUAUUGGACAAUGGGCGCAAGCCUGAUCCAGCCAUGCCGCGUGUGUGAAGAAGGCCUUCGGGUUGUAAAGCACUUUCAGCGAGGAGGAAGGGUGGUGUGUUAAUAGCACAUCAUUUUGACGUUACUCGCAGAAGAAGCACCGGCUAACUCUGUGCCAGCAGCCGCCGUAAGAC
rnacentral:rRNA from 1 species